rnacentral:rRNA from 1 species
UGCCAGCCGCCGCGGUAAUACUUAUGGUCCGAGCGUUGUCCGGAAUGACUGGGCGUAAAGGGUGCGUAGGCGGCUACAUAUGUCAGGUGUGAAAUCCCCGGGCUUAACCUGGGAACUGCGCUUGAAACUGUGUAGCUUGAGUCCGUGAGAGGUUAGCGGAAUUCCCGGAGUAGCGGUGAAAUGCGUAGAUAUCGGGAGGAACAUCAGUGGCGAAGGCGACUUUCUGGACUGAUACUGACACUGAGGUACGAAAGCGUGGGUAGCAAACAGGAUUAGAUA